rnacentral:rRNA from 1 species
AAAUUGAAGAGUUUGAUCAUGGCUCAGAUUGAACGCUGGCGGCAGGCCUAACACAUGCAAGUCGAACGGUAACAGGAAGCAGCUUGCUGCUUUGCUGACGAGUGGCGGACGGGUGAGUAAUGUCUGGGAAACUGCCUGAUGGAGGGGGAUAACUACUGGAAACGGUGGCUAAUACCGCAUAACGUCGCAAGACCAAAGAGGGGGACCUUCGGGCCUCUUGCCAUCAGAUGUGCCCAGAUGGGAUUAGCUUGUUGGUGAGGUAACGGCUCACCAAGGCGACGAUCCCUAGCUGGUCUGAGAGGAUGACCAGCCACACUGGAACUGAGACACGGUCCAGACUCCUACGGGAGGCAGCAGUGGGGAAUAUUGCACAAUGGGCGCAAGCCUGAUGCAGCCAUGCCGCGUGUAUGAAGAAGGCCUUCGGGUUGUAAAGUACUUUCAGCGGGGAGGAAGGUGUUGUGGUUAAUAACCGCAGCAAUUGACGUUACCCGCAGAAGAAGCACCGGCUAACUCCGUGCCAGCAGCCGCGGUAAUACGGAGGGUGCAAGCGUUAAUCGGAAUUACUGGGCGUAAAGCGCACGCAGGCGGUCUGUCAAGUCGGAUGUGAAAUCCCCGGGCUCAACCUGGGAACUGCAUUCGAAACUGGCAGGCUUGAGUCUUGUAGAGGGGGGUAGAAUUCCAGGUGUAGCGGUGAAAUGCGUAGAGAUCUGGAGGAAUACCGGUGGCGAAGGCGGCCCCCUGGACAAAGACUGACGCUCAGGUGCGAAAGCGUGGGGAGCAAACAGGAUUAGAUACCCUGGUAGUCCACGCCGUAAACGAUGUCUACUUGGAGGUUGUGCCCUUGAGGCGUGGCUUCCGGAGCUAACGCGUUAAGUAGACCGCCUGGGGAGUACGGCCGCAAGGUUAAAACUCAAAUGAAUUGACGGGGGCCCGCACAAGCGGUGGAGCAUGUGGUUUAAUUCGAUGCAACGCGAAGAACCUUACCUGGUCUUGACAUCCACGGAAGUUUUCAGAGAUGGAUUUGUGCCUUCGGGAACCGUGAGACAGGUGCUGCAUGGCUGUCGUCAGCUCGUGUUGUGAAAUGUUGGGUUAAGUCCCGCAACGAGCGCAACCCUUAUCCUUUGUUGCCAGCGGUUAGGCCGGGAACUCAAAGGAGACUGCCAGUGAUAAACUGGAGGAAGGUGGGGAUGACGUCAAGUCAUCAUGGCCCUUACGACCAGGGCUACACACGUGCUACAAUGGCGCAUACAAAGAGAAGCGACCUCGCGAGAGCAAGCGGACCUCAUAAAGUGCGUCGUAGUCCGGAUUGGAGUCUGCAACUCGACUCCAUGAAGUCGGAAUCGCUAGUAAUCGUGGAUCAGAAUGCCACGGUGAAUACGUUCCCGGGCCUUGUACACACCGCCCGUCACACCAUGGGAGUGGGUUGCAAAAGAAGUAGGUAGCUUAACCUUCGGGAGGGCGCUUACCACUUUGUGAUUCAUGACUGGGGUGAAGUCGUAACAAGGUAACCGUAGGGGAACCUGCGGUUGGAUCACCUCCUUACCUUAAAGAAGC